rnacentral:lncRNA from 1 species
UAGGUGAGGACACCAUGUUCCUCUACUGUUGUGGAUGCAGCCCUCACCAGACGACCGAACCUGCCAGUGCCUUGUUCUUGGACUUCCUAGCCUUCAGAACUGCCAGAAUCCUGCUAGGACAUCUCUGCCUGUGGAAGGAGGGCUGGAUGGCAUACUGGGAAUGGCUUUCUAGGAUGACUUCCUGUUGCUACAGACUACAAGAAGCAUUUCUGGCCUUGAUGUUGUCUGAAUGAAGAAGACAUAGGAGUUUCACCAAAGUAUAGCUCCCUGAAACCAGAUGGAUCAUGGCAGAUGAUAGUGGCUACUCUAAACUUGACCAAGUAGCUUCCACAAUUGAAGUCCCAAGCUGGAGCCUACAGGAAUGAGGAAGCAGGAAGGGCCAGAGUGAAGUGGAAACUUUGAACUUGAAGUUGGAAGACACUGGUACUCAUCUCUUCUAUUUGCUAGCUGUAUGAUCUUGGGCAACUUAUUUAAUUUAUCUUCCUCCAGUUUACUCAUUGAUUAAAUGAAGGUAACAAUUUUAUCUCAUAGGGAUAUGGGGAUGAUCGAGAGAGAUAAUAAAAGUGAAAGUGUUUUGAAAAGCAUAAAUUCUAC